UACUCGGGAGGCUGAGGCAGGAGAAUGGCGUGAACCCGGGAGGCGGAGCUUGCUGAGAUCACGCCACUGCGCUCCAGCCUGGGCGACAGAGCGAGACUGUGUCUCAAAAAAAAAAAAAAAAAAAAAAAAGAACCUAAAGAACUCUAAAGAGAAAAGGACCACCUUUGCAAAAGGCAGCACAGACAUAAAAUUGCCUGUCAUUAAAGGCACGGAUUUUCCAUCAACGGCCAUUAUUUUCACAUUAUAGAGUCAUAGCCGUGGAAGGUGUCUGAAGCAGUUUCCUCAGAAAGUUCCUGACUUCCCCUAGAAAUGAACUUCUUCAACUUUGCAAUUUAUAUUUGCAUAAAAAUUUCUACAGCCAUUCAAUUUGCAAAAUAUAUGGAUCUAUCAACUGUAAAAUAGUUCUUAAGUGUAUUCUUUUUGGGUAUUUGAAUCUGGUGGAUAUAUGGUUUUAUGUCUCAGUACAAAUCCAUCAUUCCAAUAUUAGUCUUCAGCUUUAAUUAUUCAACUGUGGAAUUCUGAUCACUGAUUUCUCCGAGGAAGUUUUAAAAGUGAAUAGUCCAUCUUUAAUUAUAUAAUAUUUCUUCCAAAUAAUAGAAUUUAUGUGACUAGAAUCUCCCCAUCAAGUUUUAGACACGUACGAUGACGCAUUUUUACUCACAAAUUAAUAGCACCGCCAUUGGCAGGAAACAUGGAGCCGCCGUCAGGCCUUGGCGUAGCUGGAUGGCGGUGUCCCGGAGAAGUUGCAGGGAUGUGGCUGAGCCCAGCUCCCUUUCUGAGCGCUCUGGGUUUUGGCUGUGGACUGGAAUCAUGGCACAGGGGGAGUCACGGCACGGGGGGAGUCACGGCACGGGGGGGAGUCACGGCACGGGGGGGGGGUCACGGCACAGGGGGAAUCACGGCACAGGGGGAGUCACGGCACGGGGGGAGUCACGGUACGGGGGGAGUCACGGCACGGGGGGAGUCACGGCACGGGGGAGUCACGGCACGGGGGGAGUCACGGCACGGGGGGGUCACGGCACGGGGGAGUCACGGCACGGGGGGAGUCACGUUCUUGAAUUGUUGUUUUUAUAUAUCAUUAUGGAGAAAUGAAAUUUCAUGCUGUUAAAUAUUCAUAUCUAUCAACUUAUAGCCCAGGCAGGUGUGCAAUGGUGCAAUCUUGGCUCAAACGCAACCUCUGCCGCCCGAGUUCAAGCGAUUCUCCUGCCUCAGACUUCCACGUAGCUGGAAUUACAGGCAUCUCCCUUUAGACCAGAGAAAGAAAAAAUGGUUAAGACAUUUUAAAAAUACUAUAUGUAAAUACUAUGUGAAAAUUAGCUAAUGUAUGAACUUAGUUAUAGAAAUGCAAGUAUACUCUGUAGAUGAGAUGUCCAAUUUUCUAAUAUUUGAAUUAUCUAGAUAAUUUCAUGUAUUCUACCCCGAUAUGAAUUACUUGUUUUGUAUUUUGUUACUUUAAAAUCUAUUCAUGUGUUAUAGCACUAGUUGGUGAUUUUCUAAAGUAGUCAUUAAUUUGUAACCAAUUUAUCUGUAUCAAUUUAGGAAUGUGUUGAAAUAUCAGAAAAGGAAAUCUGCUGUGUUUAAAUGCUGUAUGUCUUGGAUCAAAGAUUUACAAUUUAACUGUACUAUAUAUUCACACAUAUAAUUAGAAAUAAUGGAAAUAGUAUAGAAUUAAUUUAUUUCUAUCUUAUCAUCAACUGAACCAUUGUUUUUAAAUGUCAGGUUUUACUAAUAAUUUCUAUUUUCUUUUGUGCAGUCUGUAAACAUCCUGCAUAUAAACAUCAAGUUUGCUGCCUGGCCUCAGGGCUGGGGCAGGGCAGGUGUUUUUACAGACGCCUCCUACGUCUGUGGUGAAUCUCUCAGGCAUUUGCUUGGUUACUAUAAACCUUCGGUGUUUCUAGAGUUCUGACAAAGUUGAUUCUGACCGUUUUGCUCAGUUUUUUCAGUGAUUCUGUGAAGGGACAGACCUUGGAUUUUCCUCUCUGCUAUUUUUGCAGACAUCAGUGAUUCUGUUGAUCUUUGGUCAUUACACAGUCCUUAUUUUCCGGAAUACACAGCCUGAUCACAGUGUGUUAUUCUGAUUUAAAAUUUCACUGUAUGGUGAUUUGUUAAACUGUUUAGCUAUUUUUACAUUUCUUGGGAAAUUUUGGAAAAUUUCCCCCAAAAAACAACUUUUUGGGGAAAAAUUAAAUGAUAAUUCUUUCUUGUAGUGAACUCCAGGUUUCAGCAUCCAUGCUAUUCUCUCCCCAAAACAUUAGGCGAGAAUCGUUUCCUCUUUUCCUAUCCUGGGAAGAUGAGAUGUGAGCUGAGCCCUAUUUCUUUUACACACUUAGAACAAUUUUUCAUGAAAGCCAUUUAGACCUGGAUUUUCUUUACCGCUAGGCUUCUAAUUAUGUUUUGCUUAUAAUUUACAUUAUUUUAAAUUAACAAAUCAUAAUUGUAUGAUAUUUAUGGAGCACAAUGCGAUGCUAUGACGUAUGUUUUCAGUGUAGAAG
rnacentral:lncRNA from 1 species